AUUAGAGUUUGAUCAUGGCUCAGAGUGAACGCUGGCGGUAGGCCUAACACAUGCAAGUCGAACGGCAGCACAGGAGAGCUUGCUCUCUGGGUGGCGAGUGGCGGACGGGUGAGGAAUACAUCGGAAUCUACUCUGUCGUGGGGGAUAACGUAGGGAAACUUACGCUAAUACCGCAUACGACCUACGGGUGAAAGUGGGGGACCGCAAGGCCUCACGCGAUUGAAUGAGCCGAUGUCGGAUUAGCUAGUUGGCGGGGUAAAGGCCCACCAAGGCGACGAUCCGUAGCUGGUCUGAGAGGAUGAUCAGCCACACUGGAACUGAGACACGGUCCAGACUCCUACGGGAGGCAGCAGUGGGGAAUAUUGGACAAUGGGCGCAAGCCUGAUCCAGCCAUACCGCGUGAGUGAAGAAGGCCCUCGGGUUGUAAAGCUCUUUUGUUGGGAAAGAAAUCCCGUUGGUUAAUACCCGGCGGGGAUGACGGUACCCAAAGAAUAAGCACCGGCUAACUUCGUGCCAGCAGCCGCGGUAAUAAU
rnacentral:rRNA from 1 species